GGGGCGCUGGCGCAACGGUAGCGCGUUGUAAGUUACCAUUACUUUCACACAUGAAGAAACCUCAUUCUAACAAUUAUCACAGCGACUCCAGAUCGAAAGGUUAUCCGUUCAAAUCGGGUGCGCCUCA